AGACCGAUAGCGAACAAGUACCGUGAGGGAAAGAUGAAAAGCACUUUGGAAAGAGAGUUAAAAGUACGUGAAAUUGUCGAAAGGGAAGCGCUUGAAGUCAGCCAUGCUGCUUGAGACUCAGCCUUGCUUUUGCUUGGUGUAUUUCUCGGUAGCAAGCCAGCAUUGGUUUGAGUCGUCGGAGAAGGGUACGAGAAAUGUGGCAUCCUCGGAUGUGUUAUAGGCUUGUACUGGAUACGACGAUUUGGAUCAAGGAACGCAGUGUGCCUCUGGCGGGUCUUCGGACACCUUCACACUUAGGAUGCUGGCGUAAUGGCUUUAAGCGGCCCGUCUUGAAACACGGACCAAG
rnacentral:rRNA from 1 species